GUUAUUUACGCUAUGCCAUAGGAACCUUGGAAUGCAUGGUUUUCUACAAAGAUGUACUCUGUCGAGAAGGUCGAGAACGUCGAGAACGGUCGAGAAGCUAGACGAUCAGUAUCAAUCCAGAACCCAGAAGAAACGGGAGGUAAAUUCAUCCGAAAUGUAGGAUUCUUCAUGUUUCAGCAGGUACACUGUGUGUCUGCAACAUCUUUGAGAGUGCAUCACCAUCAUAGUAGGUGAUCCAGACUGUUGCAUCAUCAUUACAAAGUUACUGGAGAUCUUGUUGAACAUACAGGAUGUUGCCUAUUCAAGUGUCUUGGACGUGCAAUAUGGCGUUUAUGUGGAAAUUUCUGUAUUCUGGCAGCGCCAAGAAGUCUGGAGUUCUGAUGCUUAUUUACAAAGCAAUAAUUAAAUUUAGCUCAGGUACAGAAAACUAGACAUACCUGCAAGAGUCAGUGAAAGAGCCAGGUGAAGAACCCAUUAUAUUUGCCUGCGGAUGAGAACUAUACAAGGGCCAUUAUGACAUAGUUGCCUCAUUCAAACUUGCCUAUGAGAGAUGGAAUGGCAUGCAUCAACCCAUACCGGGAAAAAUUAAUAUAUUUUAAUUCCCAAAGUGGGAAUGUGCAAGCCAUCUCUAAGCUUCUCACUCCUUCUCAAUGUGCUGCAGUGUGCAGACAUGAUCCUUGCAUGCUCUGAGCCCUAGUUCACUAAACAGAUUCAGUGAAGUGGAUUAUUAGUUCAAAUACGAAGUUGUAAUUAUUAAGCAUUUAUGUACAAUAAACUAAUAAAUGUCAUUUGCAUAACAAUAUAAGUGAAUUAGCAUCAGAGUGAAACAAUUCCUUGUUUAUUGACGAAUUCCA